rnacentral:rRNA from 1 species
UUCCGAUGGUGAACCUGCGGAGGGAUCAUUACCGAGUUUACAACUCCCAAACCCCUGUGAACAUACCACUUGUUGCCUCGGCGGAUCAGCCCGCUCCCGGUAAAACGGGACGGCCCGCCAGAGGACCCCUAAACUCUGUUUCUAUAUGUAACUUCUGAGUAAAACCAUAAAUAAAUCAAAACUUUCAACAACGGAUCUCUUGGUUCUGGCAUCGAUGAAGAACGCAGCAAAAUGCGAUAAGUAAUGUGAAUUGCAGAAUUCAGUGAAUCAUCGAAUCUUUGAACGCACAUUGCGCCCGCCAGUAUUCUGGCGGGCAUGCCUGUUCGAGCGUCAUUUCAACCCUCAAGCACAGCUUGGUGUUGGGACUCGCGUUAAUUCGCGUUCCUCAAAUUGAUUGGCGGUCACGUCGAGCUUCCAUAGCGUAGUAGUAAAACCCUCGUUACUGGUAAUCGUCGCGGCCACGCCGUUAAACCCCAACUUCUGAAUGUUGACCUCGGAUCAGGUAGGAAUACCCGCUGAACUUAAGCAUAUCAAUAAGCGGAGGA